rnacentral:rRNA from 1 species
AGGACGAACGCUGGCGGCGUGCUUAACACAUGCAAGUCGAGCGGAAAGGCCCUUCGGGGUACUCGAGCGGCGAACGGGUGAGUAACACGUGAGCAACCUGCCCUUGGCUCUGGGAUAGCCUCCGGAAACGGGGAUUAAUACCGGACAUUCACUGACCCCUGCAUGGGGGAUGGUGGAAAGUUUUUCGGCCAGGGAGGGGCUCGCGGCCUAUCAGCUUGUUGGCGGGGUAACGGCCCACCAAGGCGACGACGGGUAGCCGGCCUGAGAGGGCGAUCGGCCACACUGGGACUGAGACACGGCCCAGACUCCUACGGGAGGCAGCAGUGGGGAAUAUUGCACAAUGGGCGCAAGCCUGAUGCAGCGACGCCGCGUGGGGGAUGAAGGCCUUCGGGUUGUAAACCCUUUCACCAGGAACGAAUUCAGACGGUACCUGGGGAAGAAGCGCCGGCUAACUACGUGCCAGCAGCCGC